AUUGAACGCUGGCGGCAGGCCUAACACAUGCAAGUCGAGCGGAUGAAGGGAGCUUGCUCCUGGAUUCAGCGGCGGACGGGUGAGUAAUGCCUAGGAAUCUGCCGGGUAGUGGGGGAUAACGUCCGGAAACGGGCGCUAAUACCGCAUACGUCCUGAGGGGGAAAGGGGGGGAUCUUCGGACCUCACGCUACCAGAUGAGCCUAGGUCGGAUUAGCUAGUUGGUGGGGUAAAGGCCUACCAAGGCGACGAUCCGUAACUGGUCUGAGAGGAUGAUCAGUCACACUGGAACUGAGACACGGUCCAGACUCCUACGGGAGGCAGCAGUGGGGAAUAUUGGACAAUGGGCGAAAGCCUGAUCCAGCCAUGCCGCGUGUGUGAAGAAGGUCUUCGGAUUGUAAAGCACUUUAAGUUGGGAGGAAGGGCAGUAAGUUAAUACCUUGCUGUUUUGACGUUACCAACAGAAUAAGCACCGGCUAACUUCGUG
rnacentral:rRNA from 1 species